rnacentral:lncRNA from 1 species
UAUCACUCCCUUACCUGCAACUUUAUGAAUUUUUCCAUCUCCAAGCUUUACUUGAGAAUCUAUGUCUUCGUUUAACUUGACGAAGCUAUUCUUGUUCCCUGUCAUAUGGUUACUACAACCACUAUCCAAAUACAAAAUAUCUUUUGCAUCCGAAUCAACAUUAAAACAUGAAUAGAAUAGAUUAUCUGAUUCCGUAAAGUUAGCUUCGUCAGGUUUAUUAUACCAACAAUCUCUUUGGGAGUGAUUAGCAUUUUUACACCUUUUGCAUUUAAAUCUACAAUCUUGCAUAUUGUGAUU